AAUCAUUUAUGCUUGCAUAAAUGAUUUUUGGAUUCGGAGCGAGUGGCGAACUGGUGAGUAACACGUGGGUAACCUGCCCCGAAGCGGGGGAUAACAUUUGGAAACAAAUGCUAAUACCGCAUAAUUAGUCAGAACCGCAUGGUUCCGACUUAAAAGAUGGCUCUGCUAUCACUUCGGGAUGGACCCGCGCCGUAUUAGUUAGUUGGUGAGAUAAAAGCCCACCAAGACGAUGAUACGUAGCCGACCUGAGAGGGUAAUCGGCCACAUUGGGACUGAGACACGGCCCAGACUCCUACGGGAGGCAGCAGUAGGGAAUCUUCCACAAUGGACGAAAGUCUGAUGGAGCAACGCCGCGUGAGUGAUGAAGGGUUUCGGCUCGUAAAACUCUGUUGUUAAAGAAGAACAAGCAUGAGAGUAACUGUUCAUGCUUUGACGGUAUUUAACCAGAAAGCCACGGCUAACUACGUGCCAGCAGCCGCGGUAAUACGUAGGUGGCAAGCGUUGUCCGGAUUUAUUGGGCGUAAAGCGAGCGCAGGCGGUUUUGUAAGUCUGCUGUGAAAGCCCUCAGCUCAACUGAGGAAGUGCAGUGGAAACUACAAAACUUGAGUACAGAAGAGGAAAGUGGAACUCCAUGUGUAGCGGUGAAAUGCGUAGAUAUAUGGAAGAACACCAGUGGCGAAGGCGGCUUUCUGGUCUGUUACUGACGCUGAGGCUCGAAAGCAUGGGUAGCGAACAGGAUUAGAUACCCUGGUAGUCCAUGCCGUAAACGAUGAAUACUAGGUGUUGGAGGGUUUCCGCCCUUCAGUGCCGCAGCUAACGCAUUAAGUAUUCCGCCUGGGGAGUACGACCGCAAGGUUGAAACUCAAAGGAAUUGACGGGGGCCCGCACAAGUGGUGGAGCAUGUGGUUUAAUUCGAUGCUACGCGAAGAACCUUACCAGCUCUUGACAUCUUCUGCCAACCUAAGAGAUUAGGCGUUCCCUUCGGGGACAGAAUGACAGGUGGUGCAUGGUUGUCGUCAGCUCGUGUCGUGAGAUGUUGGGUUAAGUCCCGCAACGAGCGCAACCCUUAUUAUUAGUUGCCAGCAUUUAGUUGGGCACUCUAGUGAGACUGCCGGUGAUAAA
rnacentral:rRNA from 1 species